rnacentral:rRNA from 1 species
UACGUAGGGUGCAAGCGUUGUCCGGAAUUAUUGGGCGUAAAGAGCUCGUAGGCGGCUUGUCGCGUCGACUGUGAAAACCCGCGGCUCAACUGCGGGCUUGCAGCCUAUACGGGCAGGCUAGAGUUCGGUAGGGGAGACUGGAAUUCCUGGUGUAGCGGUGAAAUGCGCAGAUAUCAGGAGGAACACCGGUGGCGAAGGCGGGUCUCUGGGCCGGUACUGACGCUGAGACGCGAAAGCGUGGGGAGCGAACAGG